AUGUUGGAAUCAUCAUCUGGGCAUUUACAUUGCCAACAAGAUGAAGUCGAUAGCAAGAAAGUGAUUGACCACCGGGGUGAAAUCACAGCCAUCGUCAAAGUGGGUAAUACAUAUCUCUGUCUCCAUUCCCUAGCAGUCCUCGUCUUCAUCUUGCUCCAGAUCGAGGACGAGGUCAUUUCCGCUCCCGUGGCCGUGCUUCAUCAGGCCGCUACACUUCAUCCAAGCAUGUGCUUCGUCCUCUCCCAGUCGCUACAGCCACGCCUAGACCUCAUGCCGUCCGCUGCUUCCCUUCCUCCUGCUCCGUCCAGAGCUUCCUUCGACCUUCACCCAGUUUCAACAGAUCUGAUACAUGUGGGAACGGCGGCGCCUGAAUCCAGUCGAGGGGCGUGA
rnacentral:rRNA from 1 species